ACGCACGCUGGCGGCGUGCUUCACCCAUGCCAGUCGCACGGUGAAGCCCUUCGGGGUGGAUCAGUGGCGAACGGGUGAGUAACACGUGAGCAACCUGCCCCUGGCUCUGGGACAACCACUGGAAACGGUGGCUAAUACCGGAUACGACCCGCCUCGGCAUCGAGUGUGGGUGGAAAGUUUUUCGGCUGGGGAUGGGCUCGCGGCCUAUCAGCUUGUUGGUGAGGUGAAGGCUCACCAAGGCGACGACGGGUAGCCGGCCUGAGAGGGCGACCGGCCACACUGGGACUGAGACACGGCCCAGACUCCUACGGGAGGCAGCAGUGGGGAAUAUUGCACAAUGGGCGAAAGCCUGAUGCAGCGACGCCGCGUGAGGGAUGACGGCCUUCGGGUUGUAAACCUCUUUCAGCUCCGAAGAAGCGAAAGUGACGGUAGGAGCAGAAGAAGCACCGGCUAACUACGUG
rnacentral:rRNA from 1 species